UACGGGGGGAGCAAGCGUUGUUCGGAUUUACUGGGCGUAAAGGGCGCGUAGGCGGCCACUGCAAGUCGAUUGUGAAAUCUCCGGGCUUAACCCGGAAAGGUCAACCGAUACUGCAGGGCUAGAGUGCGGAAGGGGCAACUGGAAUUCUCGGUGUAGCGGUGAAAUGCGUAGAUAUCGAGAGGAACACCUGCGGCGAAGGCGGGUUGCUGGGCCGACACUGACGCUGAAGUGCGAAAGCUAGGGGAGCGAACGGG
rnacentral:rRNA from 1 species